rnacentral:rRNA from 1 species
UACGAAGGGGGCUAGCGUUGCUCGGAAUCACUGGGCGUAAAGGGUGCGUAGGCGGGUCUUUUAAGUCAGGGGUGAAAUCCUGGAGCUCAACUCCAGAACUGCCUUUGAUACUGAGGAUCUUGAGUUCGGGGAGAGGUGAGUGGAACUGCGAGUGUAGAGGUGAAAUUCGUAGAUAUUCGCAAGAACACCAGUGGCGAAGGCGGCUCACUGGCCCCGAUACCUGACGCUGAGGCACGAAAAGCGUGGGGGAGCAAACAGGG